rnacentral:lncRNA from 10 species
GGCGGGGCCGAGUCCAGGCAGGAAUCGGAGUGCCGUAGUACAAUCACAGCUCACUGCAGCCUCAAACUCCUGGGUUCCAGCGAUCCUCCCGCCUCAGCCUCCCCAGUAGCUGGGGCUACAGCCCAGUAAAGGCGCCAUUCCCCAUUUUACAGCUGGGGAAACUGAGUUACAGAGCUUGUCUACACUGAGUCAACAGGAGCAAAUGCUAGAUCAGGUCUAGCUGGAGUACAGUGAUGCAGUCAUAGCCCACUGCAGCCUCAAAAUUCCUGGGCUCAAGCAAUCCACCCACAUCAGCUUCCCAAGUAGUUGGGACUACAGGCCCACACUACUAUACCCAGGAUCUCUCUCUCUCUGCCACCCAGGCCAGAGCGCAGUUGAUGCAGGUCAGGGGAGCCCCCCAGUGGAGCAUAGUGUGUCCAGAACUGGUGGGUUGUUGGUCUCACUGACUUCAAGAAUGAAGCCACGGACCCUCGGGGUGAGCGUCACAGUUCUUAAAGGCGGUGCGUCCGGAGUUUUUUCCUUCUGAUGCUCGGAUGUGUUCAGAGUUUCUUCCUUCUGGUGGGUUGCUGGUCUCACUGGCUUCAGGAGUGAAGCUGCAGACCUUCAAGGCUGGAGUGCAAUGGUGCCAUCUCAGCUCGCUGCAACCUCUGCCUUCUGGAUUAAAGCAAUUCUCCUGCCUCAGCCU